rfam:Hydrogenophilales bacterium RIFOXYA1_FTLL_63_33 rifoxya1_full_scaffold_3877, whole genome shotgun sequence.
UCGGGGCGCCAGCCCCCGAUGUCUGAGCACGAUGCUCACAAGACGGUGUCCCGUCCAAGCCUGG